GUCUUGCAGGCUCGAUGCGAUGUAACAAAGGUUGAAAGAAAAAAUAAUUCCUGGCGUGGGGCGACGGUAGCCGGGCCGGGACCUUCCAAAACAGCACGGAGAGACCAAAGGAGCGCGCGGUGAUGACGCAACACGCAGCUUAGGCUUUUUUUUCUUCCCCAGCGACGCGCGAGCGGAAGAUGUCUAGGCGCGCGCUGUUGCCAUGGUAAUUCGUACCCGCCUCUACGCUUGUGAGCUCGUUUAUGGCCUCUUUCUCCAGGAGACAUAUCUAGAAGGAAGUUGUGAUGGCCAGUGUCAAAGAGAUUUGUGGUACAAGAAGUGCUAAAGGAAGUCUUUCAACAAGAAAAUGAUACCAGAUAAAAUUGUGCAUCUACACAAAGGAAUAAAGGCACAGGAAAUGCCAAUUGCAUAGAUUCUACUUUGUAGAACUUUUAAAAAAGGUCUUGGAGAAGCUCAAGAGUUUCAGAAAGAAUUCCAAGUAGCUUACAGGAAAUGUUACAAUGAGAUAAAUAAAAUACAAACAUGAAUGGAAAAGAGAGAGGAAAAGAAGAUGAAGUACAAGGAAAAGAAGCUGUAAUGCACGUAGAAUAAUCUACAUAUAAAUUUAAGGUUCAGAUUUGAAGAGUCUCUUUGAAAGUGGGAGAGGACAGAUCUUACACAGACUUUUCAGCUAUGGGAGAAUUAUUUGAAACGCUAACCCUCCUCCCCAGAAUAAAACUCUUGUCAUUUUUUCUCCCA